rnacentral:rRNA from 1 species
CAAGUCGAACGGCAGCACGGAGAGCUUGCUCUCUGGUGGCGAGUGGCGAACGGGUGAGUAAUAUAUCGGAACGUAUCCAAUAAUGGGGGAUAACGAGUCGAAAGAUUCGCUAAUACCGCAUACGCCCUACGGGGGAAAGCAGGGGAUCGUAAGACCUUGCGUUAAUGGAGCGGCCGAUAUCUGAUUAGCUUGUUGGUGAGGUAAAGGCUCACCAAGGCGACGAUCAGUAGCUGGUUUGAGAGAACGACCAGCCACACUGGAACUGAGACACGGUCCAGACUCCUACGGGAGGCAGCAGUGGGGAAUUUUGGACAAUGGGGGCAACCCUGAUCCAGCCAUUCCGCGUGAGUGAAGAAGGCCUUCGGGUUGUAAAGCUCUUUCGCAAGGGAAGAAAACUUAUGAUCGAAUAAAUCAUGAGGUUGACGGUACCUUGAUAAGAAGCACCGGCUAACUACGUGCCAGCAGCCGCGGUAAUACGUAGGGUGCGAGCGUUAAUCGGAAUUACUGGGCAUAAAGCGUGCGCAGGCGGUUUUGUAAGUCGGAUGUGAAAUCCCCGGGCUCAACCUGGGAACUGCGUUCGAAACUGCAAGGCUAGAGUGUGUCAGAGGGGGGUAGAAUUCCACGUGUAGCAGUGAAAUGCGUAGAGAUGUGGAGGAAUACCAAUGGCGAAGGCAGCCCCCUGGGAUAACACUGACGCUCAUGCACGAAAGCGUGGGGAGCAAACAGGAUUAGAUACCCUGGUAGUCCACGCCCUAAACGAUGUCAACUAGUUGUUGGUAGAGUAAAAUCUAUGAGUAACGUAGCUAACGCGUGAAGUUGACCGCCUGGGGAGUACGGUCGCAAGAUUAAAACUCAAAGGAAUUGACGG